UACGGUAGGGUGCGAAGCGUUGUCCGGAAUUACUGGGCGUAAAGAGCUCGUAGGUGGUUUGUCGCGUUGUUCGUGAAAACUCACAGCUCAACUGUGGGCGUGCGGGCGAUACGGGCAGACUGGAGUACUGCAGGGGAGACUGGAAUUCCUGGUGUAGCGGUGAAAUGCGCAGAUAUCAGGAGGAACACCGGUGGCGAAGGCGGGUCUCUGGGCAGUAACUGACGCUGAGGAACGAAAGCGUGGGUAGCGAACAGG
rnacentral:rRNA from 1 species